CAACCCUUUGUCGUUAAAACUACCUUGUUGCUUUGGCGGGACCGCUCGGUCUCGAGCCGCUGGGGAUUCGUCCCAGGCGAGCGCCCGCCAGAGUUAAACCAAACUCUUGUUAUUUAACCGGUCGUCUGAGUUAAAAUUUUGAAUAAAUCAAAACUUUCAACAACGGAUCUCUUGGUUCUCGCAUCGAUGAAGAACGCAGCGAAAUGCGAUAAGUAAUGUGAAUUGCAGAAUUCAGUGAAUCAUCGAAUCUUUGAACGCACAUUGCGCCCCUUGGUAUUCCGAGGGGCAUGCCUGUUCGAGCGUCAUUACACCACUCAAGCUAUGCUUGGUAUUGGGCGUCGUCCUUAGUUGGGCGCGCCUUAAAGACCUCGGCGAGGCCACUCCGGCUUUAGGCGUAGUAGAAUUUAUUCGAACGUCUGUCAAAGGAGAGGAACUCUGCCGACUGAAACCUUUAUUUUUCUAGGUUGACCUCGGAUCAGGUAGGGAUACCCGCUGAACUUAAGCAUAUCAAUAAGCGGAGGAAACC
rnacentral:rRNA from 1 species